rnacentral:rRNA from 1 species
AUUGAACGCUGGCGGCAGGCUUAACACAUGCAAGUCGUGCGGAGCGAGGGUGCUUGCACCUUAGCUUAGCGGCGGACGUGUGAGUAAUGCUUAGGAAUCUGCCUAGUAGUGGGGGACAACAUUCCGAAAGGGAUGCUAAUACCGCAUACGCCCUACGGGGGAAAGCAGGGGAUCUUCGGACCUUGCGCUAAUAGAUGAGCCUAAGUCGGAUUAGCUAGUGGGUGGGGUAAAGGCAUACCAAGGCGACGAUCUGUAGCGGGUCUGAGAGGAUGAUCCGCCACACUGGGACUGAGAUACGGCCCAGACUCCUACGGGAGGCAGCAGUGGGGAAUAUUGGACAAUGGGCGGAAGCCUGAUCCAGCCAUGCCGCGUGUGUGAAGAAGGCCUUUUGGUUGUAAAGCACUUUAAGCGAGGAGGAGGCUCUUAAGGUUAAUACCCUUGAUGAGUGGACGUUACUCGCAGAAUAAGCACCGGCUAACUCUGUGCCAGCCGCCGCCGUAACAC